GCGAAACCGCGAAUGGCUCAUUAAAUCAGUUAUGGUUCCUUGGAUCGUACUUUACUACUUGGAUAACUGUGGCAAUUCUAGAGCUAAUACAUGCAGCAGAGCUCCGACCUUCGGGGACGAGCGCUUUUAUUAGACCAAAACCAAUCGGGCCUCGUGUCCGUGAAACGUGGUGACUCUGUAUAACUUUGGGCUGAUCGCACGGGCUCGUCCCGGCGACGUAUCUUUCAAGUGUCUGCCUUAUCAACUGUCGAUGGUAGGUUACGCGCCUACCAUGGUCGUAACGGGUGACGGGGAAUCAGGGUUCGAUUCCGGAGAGGGAGCCUGAGAAACGGCUACCACAUCCAAGGAAGGCAGCAGGCGCGCAAAUUACCCACUCCCGGAACGGGGAGGUAGUGACGAAAAAUAACAAUACGGGACUCUUUUGAGACCCCGUAAUUGGAAUGAGUACACUCUAAAUCCUUUAACGAUUAUCCAUUGGAGGGCAAGUCCAGUGCCAGCAGCCGCAGUAAUUCUGGCUCCAAUAGCGUAUAUUAAAGUUGUUGCGGUUAAAAAGCUCGUAGUUGGAUCUCAGUUCCGGACGGGCGGUCCGCCUAACGGCGGCCACUGCCCUUCCCGAACAGGCCAGCCGGUUUCUCCUGAUGAUCUUCACCGGUUGUCUCGGGUGACCGGCAAGUUUACUUUGAAAAAAUUAGAGUGCUCAAAGCAGGCGCGACGCCUGAAUAAUGGUGCAUGGAAUAAUGGAAUAGGACCUCGGUUCUAUUUUGUUGGUUUUCGGAACGCGAGGUAAUGAUUAAGAGGGACAGACGGGGGCAUUCGUAUUGCGACGCUAGAGGUGAAAUUCUUGGACCGUCGCACGACGAACUACUGCGAAAGCAUUUGCCAAGAAUGUUUCCAUUAAUCAAGAACGAAAGUUAGAGGUCCGAAGGCGAUCAGAUACCGCCCUAGUUCUAACCAUAAACGAUGCCAGCCAGCGAUCCGGCUAAUGACACCGCGGGCAGCUUCCGGGAAACAAAGCUUUGGGUUCC
rnacentral:rRNA from 1 species